rnacentral:lncRNA from 1 species
UGUCUCUUCUCAGGUAACAGGUUGAAGACCCAGGUAUGCAUCUCUUUUAGAAAGACAGGAGCUUGUCCUACACAAGUCUACCCUAGGACUCCACUUUCGUUUCAAUUUUGAAACCUAUUUAUAAUCUAAUAGGGCCUCAGUAAAGCCUCAGGAAUCUGCUUCUGGAGUUAUUUCCUGUUGAUGUCGUUGCAGAUAUUCUCAAAGGCCUUUUGCUGACUGCUCUAGGCCCGGACCCUACAUCCAAAGGAGAGGAUGAUUGAUCCCUGGCUGAUUCUUUGCACCAGCUUUGACUGACAGCUGUCAUGGCAGAUUCGUCGAGGGCAUGGGCAUAGGAUAACAGCUGAAAGCCAGCUGGACCAUUCAGGAAUGCUCAGGUUUAAAAACAUGAACUAUGGGAUGCCUAUGGUAGCAUCGGGCAAGCUGAUGGUUACAGAGGGCAGUGGCCACCGUUCAGGGGACUGCAGCGUCCUGGGAGAGAGACUCGGGAAGACCAGGAGAUGGCGACGCAUGGGAAAGGCUCUGCUGGAGGAAAAUUCGUUUCCAAGACUCACACUAAGAGCCACAGACACCAGAGUGAAAGCCCAAGCCCUGAUUUGCCAAAGCCAGUUGAGACGUAGAAUAUUACCUUCUCCAAAUCAUUGGGAGCGCAGUCUUUCCUCGAAAGCAACCAAGAUUUUCAAGAAACCACUUUUUAUAAUUUGACUCUGACAUUGUAAAAUGGUUAUUUUUAAAGUAAAAUCAAUUUUUAGUGAGUAUUUGCGUUGCCAGACACAUCAGAUUGUUUCUUGGUUUUAGUUUCUUCUUCUUUUUAGUGUAUAAAAUGCAGGUUAAAUAGAUCUAAAGUAUGUGAAAUAUGAUGCUCACUAGCUGUUACAAAAUCCAAGUAUUAUUUUGUUUUAUUUUAUUACAGAGUGAAAAGGUAAGUUAAAAAUCUAGUUAAUGCCUGGCCUGAUUUGAUAUACUGAGAUAAUCCUUUUUUUUUUUUUUUUUUUUUUUUUUGCAAUAGGGCUGAUAUUAGAGGAAAUGAGCUUUAUGUAAUGCCUUUGGGGUAGAGGGCACUUACUGUGUAGAUAACUGUAACAGCUCACUAUUGCUGCAUAACAAGUAACCCCAAAACUCAGGGGCUUAAAAAACACAAACAUUGAUUCUUAUUCAUGAGUCUGCAAGUCAGCUGGGCAGUUCUGCUGAUCUAAGCCAAACUUUGCUGACCUUGGCCGGGCUCCCUCAGGCUUCUUUGAUUGGCAG